rnacentral:rRNA from 1 species
CAGCAGCCGCGGGAAUACAGAGGGUGCGAGCGUUAAUCGGAUUUACUGGGCGUAAAGCGUGCGUAGGCGGCUUCUUAAGUCGGAUGUGAAAUCCCUGAGCUUAACUUAGGAAUUGCAUUCGAUACUGGGAAGCUAGAGUAUGGGAGAGGAUGGUAGAAUUCCAGGUGUAGCGGUGAAAUGCGUAGAGAUCUGGAGGAAUACCGAUGGCGAAGGCAGCCAUCUGGCCUAAUACUGACGCUGAGGUACAAAAGCAUGGGGAGCAAACAGGAUUAGAUACCCCCGUAGUCCCUGUCUCUUAUAC